GGGUUGCCGGUUCAAACCCCACCCUGGGCGUGUCGAAGUGUCCUUGAGCAAGACACCUAACCCCUAACUGCUCUGGCGAAUGAGAGGCAUCAAUUGUAAAGCGCUUUGGAUAAAAGCGCCAUAUAAAUGCAGAAUUUUCAUAUGUAAGAGAACAUCAGAAAGAAUAUACAGUACUACUUUCGCUCAACGUGUGUCAAUAUUCUCAUUUUAGGCAAUCCUGCAUUAUUUACACAAUUUGUAUGUAGAUUUUGUAUAUACUUUUUCAAAGCAAUAUCUGUGUAGGGUAAAGCUAAUUUGCAGUGAACAAGACCUUUCAAUGUGUUUGAAGUAAGCGUUCUAUCAUCCAAGGACCAUGGAAGUUUUUCAGCUGAAAAAGGCCUUCUUUAAAUAAAUAAAGCUAAUAAUAAGCUUUAAAUAAGCUAAUUGCUGCAGUACAGCCCCCUGUGAAGAUAUUACUGUUUACAAGAUGUAAUUGUUUAUAAAUUGCAACUUUGUUUUAUGAAGGACACCCGUUGCUUUUUUCAUUUUGAAUAAAAACAUAAAAUAAAA